UACGUAGGGACCAAGCGUUGUUCGGAUUUACUGGGCGUAAAGGGCGCGUAGGCGGCUUAACAGGUCACUUGUGAAAUCUCCGGGCUUAACUCGGAACGGCCAAGUGAAACUGUCAAGCUAGAGUGCAGAAGGGGCAAUCGGAAUUCUUGGUGUAGCGGUGAAAUGCGUAGAUAUCAAGAGGAACACCUGAGGUGAAGACGGGUUGCUGGGCUGACACUGACGCUGAGACGCGAAAGCGUGGGGAGCAAACAGG
rnacentral:rRNA from 1 species